ACCUGGGUGGCUCAGUGGUUGAGCGUCUGCCUUUGGCUCAGGUCAUGAUCUCUGGGGUCCUGGGAUCGAGUCCCACAUCAGGUU
rnacentral:tRNA from 1 species